UGCUUGAAAAAUGAAGGGAUAAAAAUUGGGGAAAAUGGUUUUCUUCUCGCCAGAACUAUUGGCCGCUCUGUUUAUCAAAUGGGCUGGCUCCGCUUUUGAUCGACACGGUACCUCUAAUAUGGGAGCAACGCCUUUCCAGCAUCGGUUAUGCAUUUCUUCCCGAUUGAUUCGAAAUUUCUGGAUGUGGAUCCAUGCAAGAAAUUUCUCUUGAUAGUGUCCCACGAUGUCGGCCAGCACUUGCAACAUCAGUAUGCUACUCGUUUAGAAGCUUCAUUGUUGCACGAACGAAGUAUUUCUAGCCAUUGGUUUCCUGGACAAUGGGAAAACGUCGCUUGAUGUUAGCGAAUCAUAUGCCUGGUUUGUACAUUUUUAGAAUCAAUCUUUGGUAAAUAUGCUAGUAAAUCAUAUGUGCCUCCAUCGACUUUUGUAGCCUGUGGUAAAUAUCAUCUUUCGAAUAUGGAGAAUGGCAUCUAUUCCUUUAAGAUUGUAACAGGUCGAUCCCGAGCUUGCCAUGGCUGAAGCUGAUAAGGUGGGAGAUGAUGAGACUUCAAAGUCAUUUGGAAACAGAUCUCUCCAGACAAAGGCAUGGAGGAGGGUGGAGAUAAACAGAAUGGCCACCAUUGUCGAGGACAUGAAAGAGAGGACGAGUGCCAAACCCUUGCUCAGAGGACCAGGAAGAGUGCAAUGAAGAAACAAGUCCUGGAACACCCAUCGAACUUUCCGUAGAUCGUCUCCCAAGCUAUACUUGCAGCUGAUGGGGCAGCUA